CCUACGGGUGGCUGCAGUGGGGAAUAUUGCACAAUGGGGGAAACCCUGAUGCAGCGACGCCGCGUGAGUGAAGAAGUAAUUCGGUAUGUAAAGCUCUAUCAGCAGGGAAGAAAAUGACGGUACCUGAGUACGCAGCCCCGGCUAACUCCGUGCGAGCAGCCGCGGUCAUACGUAGGGGACAAGCGUUAGCCGGAUUUACUGGGUGUAACGGGAGCGUAGACGGCAGUGCAAGUCUGGAGUGAAAGGGGGGGGCUCAACCCCGGGACUGCUCUGGAAACUGUACGGCUGGAGUGCAGGAGAGGUAAGUGGAAUUCCUAGUGUAGCGGUGAAAUGCGUAGAUAUUAGGAGGAACACCAGUGGCGAAGGCGGCUUACUGGACUGUAACUGACGUUGAGGCUCGAAAGCGUGGGGAGCAAACAGGAUUAGAUACCCGAGUAGUC
rnacentral:rRNA from 1 species